rnacentral:rRNA from 1 species
UACGUAGGGGGCAAGCGUUGUCCGGAUUUAUUGGGCGUAAAGAGCGUGUAGGCGGCCCGACAGGUCCGUUGUGAAAACUCGAGGCUCAACCUCGAGACGUCGAUGGAAACCGUCGGGCUAGAGUCCGGAAGAGGAGAGUGGAAUUCCUGGUGUAGCGGUGAAAUGCGCAGAUAUCGGGAGGAACACCUAUGGCGAAGGCAGCUCGCUGGGACGUUACUGACG